GACAUUUCAUCUUGACAAUCUGCACAUCUGGGAGACUAUCAAGAAAUGCUUUGAGGUCGUUGCCAUUCAGCACAAUCCGAUUGUCAUAAAUGUGCCCAUUGGACUGAAAAUCGAUGACUGCCUUCUUCUUCAGCUGCAUGCAGUGUCUCUCAGCUGCCUCAAAAUCUCCUGCCUGAUAUUCUCGAUGUGCCAACUCAGCUAACCCUUGGAAGGAAAGCAUACGUUUCGUUGGUUCUGUGCUGUCGGCCACGUUGCCCACAGAAGACGCCAUCUGGAGGGUCUGCAGAGAGUGAGAAAAGGGGGAAUAACUUCCAGUACUCAUACUGACUACUCUACUGACUUAACUAGCACAAGACACAGAAGCAUAAGGACAAAAACCACCUUACAAUAUAGCCAUGUCUUGCACUUCACAGCUCUCAAAGCAUGUGCGUUUGAAGAAGAAAAAAAGAACUGAAAAGUACAAAACCAGAAGCUAUUCUGUGGAAAAUUAUUUCAAUCAUCAGGCAUGUGAAAGAUAAGUCAAAGAUUCAGUUUUCAUCAAUGCUUAGUCAAAACGGAAAUUUUCUUCUGUCAAGAAUAUACUCCAGAGGUUUCCCUGAU